rnacentral:rRNA from 1 species
AACGAACGCUGGCGGCAGGCUUAACACAUGCAAGUCGAGCGCCCCGCAAGGGGAGCGGCAGACGGGUGAGUAACACGUGGGAAUCUACCCAUCCCUACGGAACAACUCCGGGAAACUGGAGCUAAUAACGUAUACGCACUUCGGGGGAAAGAUUUAUCGGGGUUGGAUGAGCCCGCGUCGGAUUAGCUAGUUGGUGGGGUAAAGGCCUACCAAAGCGACGAUCCUUAGCUGGUCGGAGAGAAUGAUCAGUCACACUGGGGAUGAAACACGGCCCAGACUCCUACGGGAGGCAGCGGUGGGGACUAUUGGACAAUGGGCGCAAGCCUGAUCCAGCCAUGCCGCGUAGGUGAUGAAGGCCGUAGGGUUGUAAAGCUCUUUCGCCAGUGUCGAUAAUGGCGGUACCUGGAUAAGGAGCCCCGGCUAACUUCGUGCCAGCCGCCGCAGUAAGAC